rnacentral:rRNA from 1 species
AGCGAACGCUGGCGGCAGGCCUAACACAUGCAAGUCGAACGAACCUUUCGGGGUUAGUGGCGGUGGGGGGAGUAACACGUGGGAACGUGCCCUUAGGUUCGGAACAACUCAGGGAAACUUGUGCUAAUACCCAAUGUGCCCUUCGGGGGAAAGAUUAAUCGCCUUUAGAGCGGCCCGCGUCUGAUUAGCUAGUUGGUUGAGGUAAUGGCUCACCAAGGCGACGAUCAGUAGCUGGGCUGAGAGGAUGCUCAGCCACAUUGGGACUGAGACACGGCCCAAACUCCUACGGGAGGCAGCAGUGGGGAAUCUUGCGCAAUGAGCGAAAGCCUGACGCAGCCAUGCCGCGUGAAUGAUGAAGGUCUUAGGAUUGUAAAAUUCUUUCACCGGGGACGAUAAUGACGGUACCCGGAGAAGAAGCCCCGGCUAACUUCGUG